GACGGGCAGGCAGGGGGCGUGGAGAGGCCGCCAGAGAGCAGCCUGUCCGCCGCACAGAGCUGCUGGCGGAGGGGGGCGGUGGUGGAAGCUGAUCGCGGCGGCAGAGCUGCGACGGUGCGUAGCUCGCCGGGACUCCUCCGUGGCCAGCCGCCGUCUGUCACUCCUCUCGCCGGGGGCUCGUCGUUCGCGUGACAUCACCGCGGAAUGGGAGAGAGCGGAUUCGUCGUGUUGCACACUUCCACCUGCGCGGACCUGGUCGCGUGAUGCGACCGAGAGGAGCUGCCGCGUCGACCGGGGGCGGAAACAUUUGAUGCUUCGGGACCGGUUCUGGUCGGAGGAGCUAGUUCGCUAGCGCGGAGCUAGCGGCGGUGCUCGCCACUUCGAACGGUUGCCUUUUUUUUCUUCUUCUCGCCAGGAUGUUACGGUGGAUACGACAGCAGCUGGGCUUCGACCCUCCUCAUCAGAGCGAGACCAGAACGAUUUAUGUAGCAAACCGCUUCCCGCAGCAUGGCCACUACGUACCCCAGCGCUUUGCAGACAACAGGAUCAUCUCAUCCAAGUACACGAUUUGGAACUUUGUCCCCAAGAAUCUGUUUGAGCAGUUCAGGAGAAUAGCCAACUUCUAUUUUCUCAUCAUCUUCCUUGUACAGUUAAUGAUAGAUACCCCGACUUCCCCAAUCACCAGCGGCCUGCCUCUUUUCUUUGUGAUCACAGUAACUGCCAUAAAACAGGGCUACGAGGACUGGCUGAGGCACAAGGCGGACAACGAGGUGAACGGGGCUCCGGUGUUCGUGGUCCGCAGCGGGAGCCUGGUCCAGACAAGAUCUAAAAACAUCAGGGUCGGGGACAUUGUCCGUGUUGCUAAAGAUGAAACUUUCCCCGUUGACCUGGUGCUGCUGUCAUCAGAUCGCGCAGACGGCACCUGUCACAUCACCACAACCAGCCUCGAUGGAGAGACCAACCUCAAGACCCACUACUCAGUGGGGGAGACAGCAGUGUGUCAGUCAGUGUCCCAAUUGGAGGCUCUGCAGGCCGUGGUUGAGUGUCAACAACCAGACGCCGACCUGUACAGGUUUGUUGGUCGGAUCACGGUGACUCAGCAUGGGGAGGAGAUAGUCAGACCUCUGGGUCCAGAGAAUUUGCUGCUGCGAGGCGCCAGGUUGAAAAAUACCAAAGAGAUUUUUGGUGUGGCGGUUUACACUGGGAUGGAGUCCAAGAUGGCGCUCAACUAUAAGUGCAAGUCCCAGAAACGCUCUGCGGUGGAGAAGUCCAUGAAUACCUUCCUGCUCAUCUACCUGUGCAUCCUGCUGUUCGAGGCCAUCCUCAGCACCAUCCUGAAGUACGCCUGGCAGGCCGAGGACAAGUGGGACGAGCCUUUCUACAACCAAAAGACGGAGCAAGAGAGAAACAGCAGUCCGAUCUUGAAGUUCAUCUCAGACUUCUUGGCAUUCAUGGUCCUCUACAACUUCAUCAUCCCCAUCUCGCUCUACGUCACCGUGGAGAUGCAGAAGUUCCUAGGCUCCUUUUUCAUUUGCUGGGAUUUGGACCUUUACCACGAGGAAAGCGACCAGAAAGCUCAGGUCAACACCUCCGACCUCAACGAGGAGCUGGGGCAGGUGGAGUAUGUUUUCACAGAUAAGACGGGUACGCUAACUGAAAACGAGAUGCAGUUUCGCGAAUGUUCAAUCAACGGAACAAAGUACCGGGAGGUUAAUGGCAAACUGGUACCGGAGGGAAUGACUGACGAUUCACCAGAUGGUUCUUUGCCUCAGCUGAUGGGCGAGGAGUUGUUGUUUCUCAAGGCGGUGUCAUUGUGUCACACGGUCCAGAUCAGCUACGACCAGCCCGACUGCCUGGGCGGGGGAGGAGACCCAUUCGCCCAUGCAAACGGUUUCUCCUCCAAUCACAUGGAAUACUACGCCUCCUCCCCGGACGAGAAGGCGUUAGUGGAGGCAGCGAAGAGAAUCGGAGUGGCCUUCACCCGCUGCAGUGGAGAAACCAUGGAAAUCAAAACAUUUGGACAGUCAGAGAAGUAUAAACUGCUGCAUGUGUUAGAGUUUGAUGCUGACCGCAGGAGGAUGAGCGUCAUCCUACAGACUCCCUCAGGAGGCCAAGUGCUGUUCACCAAGGGAGCAGAGUCGGCCAUCUUGCCUUUCACCACCAGUGGGGAGAUAGAGAAGACGAGACUGCACGUUGAUGAGUUUGCACUGAAAGGUUUGCGGACCCUGGUGGUAGCAUGUCGCCACUUCAGCCCAGAGGAGUACAUCGAAGUGGACAGGUGUCUGAACAGUGCCCGCACCGCGCUGCAGCAGAGGGAGGAGCGCCUGCAGGAGGCCUUCAGCUACACGGAGAGAGACCUGCAGCUCCUGGGAGCAACGGGGGUGGAGGACAAACUCCAAGACAAAGUCCAGGAGACCAUUGAGGCCCUGCGCCUGGCAGGGAUCAAAGUAUGGGUGCUGACGGGGGACAAACACGAGACGGCGGUCAGCGUCAGCCUGUCCUGUGGCCAUUUCCACAGAACCAUGAACAUCCUGGAGCUUCUGCAGCAGCGCUCCGACAACGAGUGCGCCGAGCAGCUCCGCCGACUGGACAGGAGGAUAAAGGAGGACCAUGUCAUACAGCACGGCCUGGUCGUGGAUGGGGCCAGUCUGUCUCUGGCAUUGAGGAAGCACGAGAAGCUCUUCAUGGAAGUGUGUAAAAACUGUUCCGCCGUGCUGUGCUGCCGCAUGGCGCCACUGCAGAAGGCAAAGGUGGUACGUCUUUUCAAAACAUCUCCAGAGAAACCCAUCACCUUAGCUAUUGGGGAUGGAGCCAAUGAUGUCAGUAUGAUACAGGAAGCCCAUGUGGGCAUAGGUAUCAUGGGGAAGGAGGGUCGUCAGGCCGUGCGAAACAGUGACUAUGCAAUUGCCAGGUUUAAGUUCCUGGCUAAACUCCUCCUGGUCCACGGUCACUUCUACUACAUUCGAAUAGCUACGCUUGUACAGUACUUUUUCUACAAGAAUGUGUGUUUUAUUACACCCCAGUUUUUAUACCAGUUCUUCUGUUUGUUUUCACAACAAACUCUGUACGACAGUGUUUAUCUGACACUGUACAACAUCUGCUUCACCUCGUUGCCCAUACUGGUGUACAGUCUGUUUGAACAGCUGGUCCACCCACACGUUCUGCAGAAUAAACCGGGCCUGUACAGGGACAUCAGCAGGAACUCUCUGCUGUCUUUUCGGACCUUCCUGUACUGGACCCUGUUGGGCUUCUGUCACGCCUUCGUCUUCUUCUUUGGAUCGUACAUCCUGAUGGGAGAAGACACCACACUUAUGGGCAAUGGACAGAUGUUUGGAAACUGGACGUUUGGAACGCUGGUCUUCACAGUUAUGGUCAUCACUGUCACCUUAAAGCUCGCUUUAGAGACUCAUUUCUGGACGUGGAUGAACCAUUUUGUGACAUGGGGUUCAAUCGCCUUCUACUUCAUCUUCUCUCUCUUCUACGGAGGCAUCAUCUGGCCAUUCCUCCACACCCAGGACAUGUACUUUGUGUUCAUGCAGCUGCUAUCCAGCGGUUCUGCCUGGUUCGCCAUCAUCAUCAUCGUCAUAACUUGCCUCUUUCCCGACGUGGUGAAGAAGGUCUUCUACCGACACCUGCAGCCCACCAGCACACAGAAGAAUCAGUCUCUACCAGCCCCCGCGGAGACCCUCAGCUGUGUGGAGUCCCUGUGCUGCUACCAGCAUGGGCAGAGCGGCUGUUCCCGCCUGGCCCGCUUCCUGGAGCAAAUGACGGGCCAGUGCCAGGCCGGUGCCAGCCAUUGCCAGGCGUCCGGCCGCAACAACAGGUGGGGAGGACCGCGAAGCCUACUAACAAUGGUUACGAAACCUGACGAUCCGCCUCCACCUCUCGGUUUCUAAAAUUUAGGCUGCAGUCCCGACUGCUCUAGGCCCUAACGGGGCCACAACGAAACUGUCUUGGAGCGACAGCGAGAACUUCUACUCCAACGACCGCAGCAUCCUGACGCUGUCGCCCAUCGAGGCCACCCACUGCUGACUCCCCGGGGUGGUCCCGCGGACCGUAGCGCCACAGAGCCGCGACUCUGCUUAUUCGUCCAGAAUCUCACACGUCUGCCGCCGCCGCCGCCACCACCAUUGUACAUUCAAUUUUUAAACUCAACGCAGUUGCAGCUCGAUGCGACGCGGAACUCGAAACGGGAGCCGUAGCGUCGCAUCGCUCGAAAACCAAAGGACUCGGCUCGUUGCCCGGUGACGUCGCACAUUCUCGGGGGGGGGAAUGAGGUUGAGCGGCGACUUCAAAGGAAGUGAAAAGUGGGAUGGGCCAGCACGACACGAAGCAAACACCCGUGGACCUACUCCUGUAUCAAAACCAUCAAGUCAGCAUGUGAGCAGCGACAAUUAUAGGACUGAGGCCUGCAGAACAAUCCGACAAAACGUUUAAAUUCAAUACCUUGAGAAGCGGUUAGAGAAGUCGUACUGAAGCAGCUCCCACGUGAGCCCCUCCCUCCUGCAGUCAGUUCCCAAACAUAUUUUUAUUUCUCGCAGCUGGCAUUAAUAAGACCCCGCACAUUGGUAGCCAGAGAACAGAGACUCCUGGUGGUCUGGCAUCAGACGACCGGCCGCCCUCAGCAUCAGCAGCCUUCUACCCCGCUGGUUUGGUCACGUUGACCUUCCCCGCCCGCAGGAGCCGAGGUCGCCUGUUCGACGUCGCAGACCAGGAUCAUCCGCGUAGCAGCGGGAAGCUCAACAGAGUCGGACUACGUGGACGACGGCAUGUCGGUCGACGUCGUCGUCGUCGUCGCGUUGUUUCCAUAAAACCUCUUUGUCUCUUCGAGCCUCCUGCGAUUCCGCUGCACCGCCCACCCGCACAGCCCCCGCAGCAUCCAGAACCAGAAGAGUUCUGCCGACCUUGUUCCCCUCGGACCGACGACAACUCGGCUCCGUAGCCGUACGCGGAGCUUUCGUCUCUACCGUGGCACCAAAGACCAAAGGAUUUUCCGGCUGGAGUUUCGCAGGAAAAGUGUUUAUUUUUGUGCCUGACUGUACAGAAGCUUAUACUGUUAUUGUUCGUGCUGCUUGCUCUCGUUCCGACAGCACCGGGGCGUCCGUCUCCCUAAAAGGACGCCAGAUGGGAGGUCUGUUUAAAAAGCCAUACACGUUUCUCGAGAGGUUAUUUUAUUGAAGGUACCGCAGACGGAAGCUGCCGGAGCCUGUGGUCACUUUGUACUAUGUUCCCGUCGAAUGCCUUUUUCCCCGUCGGCCUGGUUCGUUAAAAGCAUCUCGGCAUUUCAGACCAUGACGUCACGGAUAUCAGAACAUCUGUCCAAACACAAUUCCAAGUGGAAAAUCCCCCUUUUAGUGUCCUAAAAGUGAUCCACAGAGGAUCCGAUCAGCUAACGGUUCCAUUUUGAUUUCAGCGAGACGGAAUGGCGAGAUGCUUUUUUACCAAAUCGCGGCCGACGCACGUCGCACCAGACGGCAGAAUGUCUCUAUCUCCGGAGAGAUGGAUUUAUCAGAUGAAUAUGAAUAUAUAUGAUUCAGCUUCGAGAGAAGAGAUGAACAGGAAAAGAGGAGCGUUUGCACAUGAGUCACAUAUCAAAAAUCAUAUUUCCUUUUGCUUCUCAAAUCAUUGCUCAUCUGACAUCAAUCGAAUUCACUUUUGUGUGUGUGUGUGUGUGUGUGUGUGUGUGUGUGUGUGUGUGUGUGUGUGUGUGUGUGUGUGUGUGUGUGUGUGUGUGUGUGUGUGUGUGUGUGUGUGUGUGUGUGUGUGUGUGUGUGUGUGUGUGUGUGUGUGUGUGUGUGUGUGUGUGUGUGUGUGUGUGUGUGGCGGCGGCAGCAGCAGCAGCAGCUUUGUCGUCACGUCAAGUGUUUCUCUUUCUUCGAUGUGUGUUUGCGAUGUAAAAGUAGGAAAAUCUAUAUAUUUUAGGAGAAUAUCCAGGUGAGAGAAGCGAAAGGUGGAAACCGUCUCCAAGACAACCGUUUUAAACUUGACAUCAACGAACCACACAGUGGCGAGCGAUACACUUCAUGCGUCGUGGGAUGUUUCAUCGUAGUCUGAGUUCAAUGUUCUCGAUGUUUAUUUUCAAUACGAUACGUUGUUUGAUGCUCACUGUACCUGGGGCCCUGUCGAUAUCUUUUCUGUUCACACAGGUACAAAUGACAAAAGUGUAUAUUUAUUGUUGCAGUACUGUUUUUUGUUUUUUUUCUGUGUUUUGUCGCACCUUUCUUGCAUAUCGAUAAAUCUGUUCUCCCCCAAGACGUUAAACUUGAUCUGUGAUCAGGAGGCUGAAGCUCCGAGGUAACCAGGAAGUUCAUGUUACAAUACCUUUUUUUCACAGAACAGAUACUGGUCAUCGUUCUCCCCAUAUUUAAUCAGGAAAUCUUUUUUCUUCUCUUUCUUUCUUUCUUUUUAACCAUUUGACCUCACAUUUGAUAUUAAAUGUCUACUUGGAUGAACCUGAGACACCUGUGAUCUGUACCUGGAUUUGGGAAAACGACCUGUCAAUGCUGUUUGAAAAGGGCCGAUCCACCGAUUCUACACUUGACGGCCUUUUUAUAUGUCAAUCUUACAACUGCCCGGCCUGUGAAACAUUGUGAUUUUGGCUCGACAUAUGAAAAAUAUGAGGAAAACCCUCUGUUAAUAUAAACUCAAGAGUGUGGACUUUGAAAGGUGAGAAGAUGAGGGCAGUUAAAAAGGGGCAGGGGAGGUUUAAAGAAAAGACAAGCUUUAAUUGCAUUAUGGGAAAUUUAGGAUCCAGCAUUAUUGGAGCUCAACUAGGAUUAUGGUUUAUCUCCUCCUUUGCUGCAUUAAUAUUGACAGCACUUGUUCUUCCACAAGUCCUCUAACUUUAGAGUUUGACUUGAAAACAUUAAAAAGAAGACGACGAUCAGUCGAUGCAGGAGAAUCAAAAGUUGCCAGGAUAAAGAAAGACUCAUUCAUAUUCCAUAAAGAAAAAAUCAACGGCGUCUUUUAUUAAACCUUCCAUAUGUGGUAAAGGGUCCGACGCCCCCUUGUGCUCAGCUACGGAAGCCCAAAGUGUUCGAGGCUGAAGAAAGACAAACGUAAUCACCUCACUUGUCAUAUUGAUGAUGAUUCAUGUGCGGCAAUACAGACAGUGAGUGUGACAAGUAGAAGUUAUAUGAUUGACAUUAAAAAUUACAAUUAACUACAAGAGAUACAUGACGACCACAUAAAUACCAAAACAUAUAAUAAAAAUGUUUUUUAUUUAUUUUUCAUUGACAGAAAUACUGACUUGAUUAAAAGGGGCAUUACAAAAAAACAUUUUAAAAUGAAAACCUGGAAAUGAAUGAGCUUAUUUUGAAAAGAAGCAGGAUUGAGUAACAUUUAAUUAAUGAUAAUAAUCUUCGUUUCUCAGUUGAAUAAUAAUAAAUUUGAACACUGUUUUUUUGGCCCUGGCAUGUUUUUUUUUAUGUAAUUGGGGCCCAAAUAGCACUCAUUUGAUAUUUUUCUAUAAUUUAUUUUAAUUUAUUUGCAGAAAACGGAUACAAAAGGAUAAACAUCUUUUUUAAAGCUCAGAUGUGAAAUUGGAUACAUCCUUGACCUGAUUCUCUGAAGCACUGAUGUCACCUGCGCAGCGGCAGUGUUCAGGUUACCUCUAGUUAUUUCUAGAAGCAGGAGAUUACUCAGCCACAUAAUUAUAAUUUUUUUUUUUAAAGAUCAUUUAAUAUUUUGUCACAGUGUCGUCCAUCAGAAGACCCAUCCUGGUUUAAUUGAAUCUUAUUUAAGACACUGAAGAGCUGUUUGAAUUCCGGCUACUGCUGCUGCCUCCUGCUUCCCGGCCGUAUAUUGGAUAUAUGUGAAAGUCCAGCAUCAGGUCGUGUCUCUCCUCCGAAAUAUGAAAAGUCUAAACUUUUGUUCUGUGCUUUUAUAUGUAAAACGACCCACUGUCUGUGAUAUUUGGUCCUGGACUGUUCAGUGAACAUAAAUCUGUCAAUCUUCACCCAGAAUGUCCAUGAGACCCAUUUGGUGACGUCAGUGCAGAGGAGGAACUCGCCGGCUGUUCGCAGACUUGAAUCAAAUUACGGUUUCCCAUAAUCAGAUCAGCCGAGAACAGGAGUCUAGAUUAAAAUGUCAACCGAUCAGUUCAGCGCUGUGACUCAGCAUCUCCCUGUCAGACUCCUCGUCCUCGUCCUCCACUUCAGUAAAUCAGGCUUCACCGCGUGAUUAGUAAACCAUCAUCAUCCCUCUUCAGUUGCUCUGUCUUGUCUGUCCUCUUCCUCCUCUUGUCCACGAAUCUGUCUUAUUAUAGCUGAUGUUUAUGAAGAUGCUGUUCUAUUUACGAAAUUAAAAAAAAACACAUUUUUAAGAAACAAA